GCAGCCAUGCCGCGUGUAUGAAGAAGGCCUUCGGGUUGUAAAGUACUUUCAGCAGUGAGGAAGGUGGAUGUGUUAAUAGCGCAUUCAUUUGACGUUAGCUGCAGAAGAAGCACCGGCUAACUCCGUGCCAGCAGCCGCGGUAAUACGGAGGGUGCGAGCGUUAAUCGGAAUUACUGGGCGUAAAGCGCAUGCAGGUGGUUUGUUAAGUCAGAUGUGAAAGCCCGGGGCUCAACCUCGGAAUAGCAUUUGAAACUGGCAGACUAGAGUACUGUAGAGGGGGGUAGAAUUUCAGGUGUAGCGGUGAAAUGCGUAGAGAUCUGAAGGAAUACCGGUGGCGAAGGCGGCCCCCUGGACAGAUACUGACACUCAGAUGCGAAAGCGUGGGGAGCAAACAGGAUUAGAUACCCUGGUAGUCCACGCCGUAAACGAUGUCUACUUGGAGGUUGUGGCCUUGAGCCGUGGCUUUCGGAGCUAACGCGUUAAGUAGACCGCCUGGGGGAGUACGGUCGCAAGAUUAAAACUCAAAUGAAUUGACGGGGGCCCGCACAAGCGGUGGAGCAUGUGGUUUAAUUCGAUGCAACGCGAAGAACCUUACCUACUCUUGACAUCCAGA
rnacentral:rRNA from 1 species